CACUUUAAAUCAUUUCAGACAGUUUCUUACGUCACAGUUUCCAGCUGUACGCGUGGGUCCCAACAACCCGGAUAUACACACCGCGGCUCGUCUUUAAGAGACGUCAACAGGUCCGCGAAUUCUCCAGAUAUAUCAACAGAAACACAGCUUUUCUUGGGCCACGGCGGGUCCACAAAUCUUUGCUGACCACGGCGGGUCCACCAAUCUUCACUGACCACGGCGGGUCCACAAAUGCACAGAUGUAAAUACAAAAAAAGCCAGUGCAUAAUGUCAGGGUUUGUCAACGGUUGUCAAGGCAACAGUGAAACAAAACGGCUUCUGCUCCACCAUGCAAGACAAAGAAUUGCUUAGCUGGGGAGAGCCACGGAUGGCAGUCACCCAGCAGCUACGGUGCAGUAGCCACAGGGGGCCACAGCGAUGAACCUGCAGGAUCCAGUGGCAGCCAGCUAUGCCAGAGCAGGCUGAAACCCGGGCCCAGAGACCUAAGAUCUGAGGGCCCUCCACAUCCUGGAAGGGGCCCGACAGAGCCGGGGGACCGUGCUCCACCAAGGAGCCGUCAGGAGUGAGCCAGUACACACCCGAGCACCCAACCCCGGACACCGAGAACCACCAAUACAGCGACGGGUGCAGGCACCAGCAAGUGAU